rnacentral:rRNA from 1 species
GACGAACGCUGGCGGCGUGCUUAACACAUGCAAGUCGAACGGAAAGGCCCUGCUUUUGUGGGGUGCUCGAGUGGCGAACGGGUGAGUAACACGUGAGUAACCUGCCCUUGACUUUGGGAUAACUUCAGGAAACUGGGGCUAAUACCGGAUAGGAGCUCCUGCUGCAUGGUGGGGGUUGGUAAGUUUCGGCGGUUGGGGAUGGACUCGAGGCUUAUCAGCUUGUUGGUGGGGUAGUGGAUUACCAAGGGUUUGACGGGUAGCCGGCCUGAGAGGGUGACCGGCCACAUUGGGACUGAGAUACGGCCCAGAAUCCUACGGGAGGCAGCAGUGGAGAAUAUUGCGGAAUGGGCGGAAGCCUGAUGCAGCAACGCCGCGUGCGGGAUGACGGCCUUCGGGUGGUAAACCGCUUUCGCAUGUGACGAAGCGUGAGUGACGGUAAUGGGUAAAGAAGCACCGGCUAACUACGUG